GGGGCAAGCGUUAUCCGGCUUUCCUGGGUGUAAAGGGAGCGUAGACGGCAGCGCAAGUCUGAAGUGAAAUGCCAGGGCUUAACCCUGGAACUGCUUUGGAAACUGUGCAGCUAGAGUGCAGGAGAGGUAAGUGGAAUUUCUAGUGUAGCGGUGAAAUGCGUAGAUAUUAGGAGGAACACCAGUGGCGAAGGCGGCUUACUGGACUGUAACUGACGUUGAGGCUCGAAAGCGUGGGGAGCAAAC
rnacentral:rRNA from 1 species